GACGAACGCUGGCGGCGUGCUUAACACAUGCAAGUCGAACGAAGAGCGAUGGCAGCUUGCUUCUACUCAUCUUAGUGGCGAACGGGUGAGUAACGCGUAAUCAACCUGCCCCUCUGAGGGGGCCAACAGUUGGAAACGACUGCUAAUACCGCAUACGCCCUAAUCUCGGCAUCGAGGAUAGAUGAAAGGUGGCCUCUACAUGUCAGCUAUCAUUGAAGGAGGGGAUUGCGUCGGUUUCGUAAGAUGGCGGGGUAAGGGCCCACGUAGGCGAGGGUGAGUAGCCGGUCUGAGAUGAUGGGCGGCCACAUUGAGAGUGUGACACGGCCCAGACGGCUACAGGAGGCAGCAGUGGGGAUUCGGCCGCAAUGGGCGAGAGUCAGACGAAGCUGCGCCGCGGGAGUGAUGACGGCCUUCGGGCUGUAAAGCUCUGUUAUUCGGGAGGAAAGGGCUUCUGGCGAAGAGGGAGAGUGAUUGACGGUACCGGAAAAGAAAGCCACGGCUAACUACGUG
rnacentral:rRNA from 1 species